UUUUAACACCCCUGUAAAACAAACUCACCCGGAAUCCCUUUGGCGUCUGUUGCCGAGCGCCGUAGAAAGAAAAUCAGCCAUCCUCACUGCAAACGUUUCUCUAUUCUAAAAUAAUAGGAGAAAACCCUAAAAAAGACAAGAAAGAAAAGUACAAGUGGGCUAAUCCAGUGUCUGCGGAUGUUGUAGCAUUGUGCUGUUUGCUUCUGUAAUUAUCGCAUCUGCCUUGUAUGAACUGCUCAUACCAGAAUACAGAGUUUCCAUAGCUUGCACUUGCGGCAGAGCGCUUUUUCAUCCCCGGCUGGAAUGGCAGAGCACGGCUCUCAUUCAUCCAGUAAUCUCAUUUCUUUUGUUCACUACUGAUAGAAAUCUUUCGGGGGCCGGCGGGGCGUGGGGGGGCGGAUUCCAGAUGAAGCCCUGAAUUUAUAUAAAUUUCCCUUUCUCAGAAAAUUUGAAGAGUUUUGCUGGUGUUUUUCCAAAACUGUGCAGCAGCCCAAAAGGUUUUAAACCCACUUCCUACUUGUCUGUCUCCUUUAUAAAUCGUUGAUACAUCAACAUGGCAAUUGCAGUUUUCAUUGCAAUAUGAAAAUUAGAGCAAAUCACUGUUUUCCGUCUAAUAUUGAUAGGCAGAUCUGCCUGGGUACAAUACAAACAGAUGCAGUGCAAGCUGUCAGUACAUCAAAAUAUACUUUUCAGAAAGGGUUUUGUUUAGCUUCAUCAUCUUAUCCACCCGGAUGAGUUUCGCAGCUCCUAGUUUCCCCACUGGCUUGCUAUAUCAAGUUAAUACAAGCAGAGUGCAAGUAUCCACCCACAGGCAGAUCAGGCUCCCUCAGCAAGUGGGAGAGGCAGUGCUAAAUGCAGCAAAGCAGUCGGACAGCAUCUUUGCUGGGGGAAAAGAAAAAAGUUAAAAGAAGAACACCACAACUAAGAAACUUGUGUAACUGUCUUCCCAUCUUCUCUUCAUACUGUUUUGAGGCGAAAGAGGACCUUGCAUUGUGUGUACCCACUAUCAUCUCCCAUUUUGGUGGGCACCCUGUCAUCAGUUUGCCAGACAGAGGUGCACAGGCACCCUCAGCUUUAUCCUCACUCUUUAAAAAGCUUCACCUGGAGAGAACAUGUUGAAGAAAGACUGAAACCUAAAUUUCCUCCUUAUUGGCAAAGUUUGAGUUACGAGGCUGCCAGAUGAGAGCUACAGGUUUGGAUGGCUUAAGUUAUUUUUGAACACUUGGAAAAGAGGGACAAGGAAGCAGGCACACUUUCAUUUACCAUCAGUGCAGUAAUUAAAGUUAAAAGCAUCUAAGUAAAAUUGAGGAAGAGAGAAGAGGAAGAGAGUUUUACUCAGAAACAAGAAUUCAAAAGCAAUUUGAAGAGAGCACAGUCAUCUUCUCGACCCAUUUAUUAAAUAUGCAACAUCCACUAAAGUCAAACUCUCCAACAAGAGGUCUUUAAAUCUGUUGCCUGAAAUAGGAGUGCCUGAAAUAUUGGAUAUGGCAGUAUGGAGAGUGCAGAGAACUCAGGGAAAACAAUCUUCUCCAUCUGUAUAAACCAGUGGCUCUUCUAGAAGACUACUUACAAAGAGGGAAGGGGUAACAAUCAAAUCUAUAGAAAAGUGGUAAUAAGCAAAACUGAUGGUAGUUAUCUAAACUGAGGGAAGAUUUCAGUUUAAUGUAUUUCAUUGCAUUCUUAAAUAGUAGAAUAGUGUUUUCCUCAUUAUUUCCUUGAUACUAACUUGUCUGAGAAGUUUACUGAAAUUAAUGUAGAAAGAAACAAGCAUUGUGCAAUGUUAAACUAAGAUCCUCAGGAAAGGAUAUAUUUUUAUAAGUUUCUAGUUGCAGGUGUGUUUUGAAAUAAAGUUAUUCUGAGAUAGCUUUUUCUCUUGCAUAGUCUUGAAGACUAUGUCAAUGCCUUUAUGCAUUUAAAGGUGCUGGGUGUGAAAGGCAGAGUGCAGCACGUGCAUCCUCUACCCCUGUUUAGCAAGCAGUGCCUCUGAAUUCUCACAGAAGGAAUAAGGUCAUUCAUUGUAGCUGAUUUCAGUGAUAGACAUCUAUGGAAUAGGCCAGAUUCUCUAUUCCAUUAGAGAUUGUAAGAUUAUUUAAGCUUUUUUGAGUUUUUAAAACUUUUCAGAAUAACACAGUUCACUGCAGUGGUAUGGCUAUUUUUAAAUACAGAGUAGCUCCUCAUUUUCAUCAAAUCUCACACAUAAACUUGUCCUGGAUUUGGAAACCAUGUAUUGAAACGAUUUUUUUUUAAACAUUCAUUAACAUUCACAUAAAAUUUGAAACAACUUCUAAAAGUUUGCAUCAGUUUUUAAUUCACUGACCAUGAGCACUUACCUAAGUCACUAGAAUAUCUGAAGCAGAAAAGAAGAGGAAAAGAGGAAGAAUUUCUCUUUUCUGACUUGGUGAAAAAAGUCUGCUUGAAGGUUUCUUGGAUUUAGUACACCAGCUUGAAAAAAAUAAACAUUUUCUGGACUGUUCAAAACAUCCAGUUCUUACCAAGUUCAUAUAGGAAAGUGGUUAUGUCUCACAUUUAUUUUUUUAAGCACAAGUGUACUGUUAUACUUUCAUUAAUGAAAGUGGUUUUAAACACUCCAAGAAUAACACAUUUGAGAAUUAUGAACUUUGUUACUGUGUGUCAGCAUUUAUGUAUUAGCCAGGUUGCCAACACAACACCAAAAUCACUAACAAAAGUCCUGUCACAGCAUUUUACAGCUAAUAGUCUCAGCACUAUUCAUUAGCUAACCCUGCUUCAGUUUCAACAGGGCAGGAAAGCUUCCCUGAUCAGCCUUCCCCAAUUAAACGAGUUGUUUCUCAGAUCACCGACAUUUAUGGGGAUCAGCCCAUUGAAUCUAACAGAUCUGAAAGCAAAGUUCUCUGAAGAACAAAGGCAUCCAAACAUCUGUUUCCACAUCAGGGGCACCAGGUUUAUAAAAUUAACUUCUUCCUUUUCUCUGAGGUAUUGAAAGUAUACGAAUUUCCCCAAAAGCUGAUGACAUUUGCAAUCCUUCUCAAGACAGCUUCUAAACUAAUUAUCUCAUGGUAGCCCAUGUUCAAGAUGGGACCUUGAUAUUGCUCAAGACGUCUACAGAAACAUCUAUUUUAAAUCAAAUUCCUGUUUCAAGAGUCUGAGACAUACUUACUGGAAAAGGACCCAACCUCUUUGUUUUCUGAUUAGCACUAUACCAAGAAAGCAUGGAGAUGCCUUGACAUUGUGUUGACUUACCAACACAACAUUUAUUUUGAAGUUGUUUUCGUAAGUCUAAGUGACAAGAAAAGGCAUGGCGGAAUAUAUUGUUAGGCUUUUUUUGCCACUCAUCAGGAAAAGAGAGAAAGUCUGAAGAACACACAUUUCCUAUGAACUGAAGUCUGAUUAGUAAAUCAUACAUGUCCCUCAGCCUUAGUGCCAAUGCAAAAGUUAAUCUUAUAGGAAUCAAUACACUUUCUUAGUGCCUUGUUUUAAGGAGCCUAUUAUCCUAAAGAAGGCAUGUCCUCAGGGACACAGUGCAUUAUCUUUUCAGCCCCUGUUCUCCUGAUUCCUCUUCCUAUUUGAUUGUCCACUGACAAAAGACAGAUACCAAAUAAAAUAAAACAGGGUAAAAUGCAUAAGUGAUUUGAAACAGUGAAAUGUGCAGUUUAUUUACACACUCUCAAUCCCAGCUAGCAUUACACAGAACUCCCAGACUAAAUUUAAUUUUCUCACUAAAAAGAGACUUCAAACCUAAUGUCUUUGAUAUUUGUCAUUCCCUUAUUUCCUUCAUGUUAAUAAUACGUGAGAGACUGGAAUGUUAAUGGUUAUGACUCAAAACAAUUGGCCAUUUGCAAAAGCCACAGAAUGCUCUGCUGACCUGGGGCAAAGUAACACCCGCGGACAGAGGGGGUGCAGCUCCACCACGGGGGCUACAAGCUGGGGUUUGAGCCAGCUAAAGGAAGAGGCCAAGGCACCUGUAAUGUCUUAGAAAGGGUAAUAAAUCAUCCAAGACCCCCAAAGUGCCCCAUGGUCCACAGUGUUACAUCAUACAGUGUAAAACUCCUCACCCCAAGAGGAGGUACCUGGGCAUUCCCACCAAACCUGAGGGUAUGUUAACCCAUUCAGUUUUGUGUUUUGUGGGCUUUUCCCAUCCCCAAUGGAUCAGGACUGCCACCAUCACUCAUCAAAAUUGCAACCAAGUCUUGCUGCUGGAUCCACAGAUGGUAACUAUGUAUCUUUCUACUCUUAUCCUUUCUUUCUUUUCUUAUACAUGUUCUUAAGGGUUAUUUUUAUGCUUUUUUAUUAUUAUCUAUAAUACUCAAAAUGUCUACAUAGUGCUUUCCAUUGCCACCAAAUUUUUCUAAAAUAAACCCUACAAAUAUAUAUAUAUUUAUAAAUAUUGGUCAUUCAGUGUCAUUUCUCUCUAAUACACCCCAAGGGAUCUAUUGCCAAGUACCUGGCUUAUCUUCCCCUGCUGGGGCAGGUUAUAACAAAUACUGUAUACACCUGUGCUCCCAAACACAUCUGCAGCAUUCACUACUUCCAGAAUAAAACUGUUGAACAGAUACCAAGCAGCCUUUAGCUUUUCUUCCAGAUCAGUAGUUUAGGUCUUUUUCCUAGGUCUUCAAUUUAUCCUGCUGAUUUAAAUCCCAUCCCACCCCCUCUGUGCAAUGCCCUGAGGUCGCUGACAUUUUCCUGUCCCAUGCUUCCAAGCCUUCUUGACUAGACCUGCUAGAAGCCAAACAUAAAUGUUAUCUGUAUCCCAACCAUUCCCCCUUCCUAUAUGACUUCUGAGACUACAUUUCUCAAAUUUCUAUUUCUAAAAAUAAAAUCCUAAACAGUACCACAGAAGAAUGGGUGAUACCCAGUCUUACAAGACCUACUAUGUUGUGAAACUGUGAUAUACU